rnacentral:lncRNA from 7 species
UUUUCUCCUCGGCAAUAACACGCUUCAAAGGUGCAGUUACGCGGGAUACCUGCAGUUUGCUGGUAUUUAAAGAAGGACGGCCUCUGACCCCCUGCUUCAUAACUCACUGCGAGCACACAGGUAUUCCAGCGCAAGUGGCCGUCGUUUCACACCGUGCUGCUCCUCGUGAGCAUAAAUCACCGCCGCCAGCACUGCGUCCUUGGCCGGGCCCGGGUACCCAGCCGUGAGGAGGGUGGCAGGGCGAGGCCGGACCCCCCAUCCCCUGACGGCCGCCGCUUUCCUGCAGAUCACGCCCCUCUGUGCCUCAGUUUCCUCCCUGCGAGCUGACAGUAAUCUCUUGUUACCGUUGCAAAGGGAAAUUAGUCGCGGUUUCGCACGUGUUCUGACACGUGGGUUUUACGACAGCGCAAAAUACAAGCGUGUGUGGUGUGUACGAGAGGGAGGGGAGGGAGCGGGAAGUUACCAGUGAGCCUGAGCGCGGAGCCCUUUUUCUGGCAACAUCCCCCACUUUGUUCCUUGCUCAACUUUUAAAGGUGUCCCCUUCUGCCUUCCCUCCCACAGUCCCUCCUCCCUCCUGCCGUCCUCCCCGGCUCCGGGCGCGCAGCACCGCAGGAGGAUCCCCGCGCAGCGGUCCCGCAGC